UUCUUCGAAUAGCUUUCUGUGAGUCGUAGAGUUUUUGUCUCUCCAUUCUUUAUUUCUUUAGGCUUCUGUGGGAAUUGUGGUUGAGUUUAGGGUCUUCGAAUUUACGCUUUUGAUUCUCUGAAAUCUUGGGACGGCUCAAGCUUUCAAAGAAUGGUGUAAGCAAAUGGCCAUCAUAACUCAUUCGUAUUUCACAACCACUAUCAUCACAACUGUUGGAUGUUCACUAAAGAUAAUUUGCCCAUAUCAUUUGUAUUUGAACCCAAAUCUCGUUGUUAAGCAGUAUGAGUUCUGGCGCUUGAUUACAAAUUUCUUUUACUUUGGGAAAAUGGAUUUGGACUUCCUCUUCCACAUUUCCAGUCCAAUG